rnacentral:rRNA from 1 species
UACGUAGGUGACCAGCGUUGUCCGGAUUUACUGGGCGUAAAGAGCGCGCAGGCGGUCGUUCAAGUCGAGUGUGAAAGCCCCCGGCUCAACUGGGGAGGGUCACUCGAUACUGAUCGACUUGAAGGCAGGAGAGGGAAGCGGAAUUCCUGGUGUAGCGGUGAAAUGCGCAGAUAUCAGGAAGAACACCCGUGGCGAAGGCGGUUCUCUGGGACGGUACUGACGCUGAGACGCGAAAGCGUGGGGAGCGAACAGG